rnacentral:rRNA from 1 species
UAAUACGGAGGGUCCGAGCGUUAUCCGGAUUUAUUGGGUUUAAAGGGUCCGUAGGCGGGUUAUUAAGUCAGUGGUGAAAUCCUGCAGCUCAACUGUAGAGCUGCCAUUGAAACUGGUAACCUUGAAUGUAAUUGAAGUGGGCGGAAUGUGUCAUGUAGCGGUGAAAUGCUUAGAUAUGCCACAGAACACCGAUUGCGAAGGCAGCUCACUAAGUUACCAUUGACGCUGAGGGACGAAAGCGUGGGUAGCGAACAGGAUUAGAUACCCUGGUAGUCCACGCCGUAAACGAUGUAUACUCGUUACUGGCGAUACACAGUCAGUGACCAAGCGAAAGUAUUAAGUAUACCACCUGGGGAGUACGAUCGCAAGAUUG